rnacentral:lncRNA from 1 species
UCCCCCCUACUCUUAUAUGUUUGUCCCCAAACAUGAUAUAAACAUUUACAUAGUAACACCCUAAAAAUAUCUCAAUACACUCUUUAUAAACUAUAUUUAUAACCUGGCGCCAAAAAUAUAUACAUAUAUCAACAACAAUUUAUUCCAACUUGCUAGCUUCCAGCAACCUUUAUUCCUUGUAUAAGGAAAUUUUAACAGAUGAAUAAUAAAACAACAUUUCAGUAAUCCAAAAUUCAAAUUGAUGUAGUGAAAAGAACCAACAGGCGUGCACUCCUACUAGUU